rnacentral:rRNA from 1 species
AUACGGAGGAUCCGAGCGUUAUCCGGAUUUAUUGGGUUUAAAGGGUGCGCAGGCGGCCAUUUAAGUCAGCGGUUAAAUCGUGGGGCUCAACCCCAUUCUGCCGUUGAUACUGGGUGGCUUGAUUGCGGUCGAGGUUGGCGGAAUUCGUUGUGUAGCGGUGAAAUGCAUAGAUAUGACGAAGAACACCGAUUGCGUAGGCAGCUGACCAGAUCGCAAAUGACGCUCAUGCACGAAAGUGCGGGGAUCGAACAGGAUUAGAUACCCUGGUAGUCCGCACAGUAAACGAUGAAUACUUGUUUUCGGCGAUAUAAUGUCGGAGGCAAGGCGAAAGCGAUAAGUAUUCCACCUGGGGAGUACGCCGGCAACGGUGAAACUCAAAGGAAUUGACGGGG